rnacentral:rRNA from 1 species
UGACGACCUUCGGGAGCUUGCACAGGUGCUGCAUGGCUGUCGUCAGCUCGUGUCGUGAGAUGUUCGGUUAAGUCCGCUAACGAGCGCAACCCUCGCUGUGUGUUACAAGUGUCACACGGAACUGCCGGUCAUAAACCGGAGGAAGGUGGGGAUGACGUCAAGUCAGCAUGGCCUUUAUAUCCUGGGCUACACACACGCUACAAUGGGAAGGGACAAUAGGUUGCGAAGCCGCGAGGCGGAGCCAAUCCAGCAAACUUCCCUCAGUUCAGAUUGCAGGCUGCAACUCGCCUGCAUGAAGUUGGAGUUGCUAGUAAACGCAGGUCAGCCAUACUGCGUUGAAUACGUUCCCGGGGCUU